AGAGUUUGAUUCUGGCUCAGAACGAACGCUGGCAGCGUGGAUUAGGCAUGCAAGUCGAACGGGAUCCUGGGGGUUCAAUUCUUCGGGAGAGAAUCUCUGGGUGAGAGUGGCGGAAGGGUGAGUAACGCGUGGGUAAGCUGCCUCCAAGUUGGGGACAACUCCGCGAAAGCGGGGCUAAUACCGAAUGUGAUUCUCGGUCGCAUGGCCGGGCGAUCAAAGGUGGGGACCUGGAGCUUGUCGAAAGGCCUGCCGCUUGGAGAGGUGCCCGCGUCCCAUCAGCUUGUUGGUGGGGUAAUGGCCCACCAAGGCAAACGGGUAGCUGGUCUGAGAGGAUGGUCAGCCACACUGGGACUGAGACACUGCCCAGACUCCUACGGGAGGCUGCAGUCGAGGAUCAUUCGCAAUGCGCGAAAGCGUGACGAUGCGACGCUGCGUGGAGGAUGACGGCCUUCGGGUUGUAAACUCCUGUCAUGAGGGAAAAGCCGUUCCGCUCCCAACAUGGGCGGAGCCCGAUGGUACCUCAGGAGGAAGCCACGGCUAACUCUGUGCCAGCAGCCGCGGUAAUACAGAGGUGGCUAGCGUUGUUCGGAUUUACUGGGCGUAAAGCGUGCGCAGGCGGUUUCGUAUGUCGGACGUGAAAUACCACCGCUCACCGGUGGAACGGCGCCCGAAACUGCGGAACUUGAGUGCAGGAGGGGAGAGCGGAAUUCUUGGUGUAGCGGUGAAAUGCGUUGAUAUCGAGAAGAACACCGGUGGCGAAGGCGGCUCUCUGGAAUGCAACUGACGCUGAGGCACGAAAGCUGGGGGAGCAAACAGGAUUAGAUACCCUGGUAGUCCCAGCCGUAAACGGUGCGCACUUGGUGUUGGCGGUAUUGACCCCGCCAGUGCCGGAGCUAACGCGUUAAGUGCGCCGCCUGGGGAGUACGGCCGCAAGGCUAAAACUCAAAGAAAUUGACGGGGGCCCGCACAAGCGGAGGAGCAUGUGGCUCAAUUCGAUGCAACGCGAAGAACCUUACCAGGGCUUGACAUGCAGCUGCACGCCCGCCGAAAGGUGGGAAGCCUUCGAGGGUGCUGCACAGGUGCUGCAUGGCUGUCGUCAGUUCGUGCCGUGAGGUGUUGGGUUAAGUCCCGCAACGAACGCAACCCUUGUGUCUAGUUGCCACUGCAGGUGAUGAGCCUGCGAGCACUUUAGACAGACUGCCCGUACAAGCGGGAGGAAGGUGGGGAUGACGUCAAGUCAGUAUGGCCCUUACGCCCUGGGCUGCACACGUGCUACAAUGGCCGGUACAGAGGGCUGCAAUACCGCGAGGUGGAGCAAAUCCCCAAAGCUGGCCUCAGUUCGGAUUGGAGUCUGCAACUCGACUCCAUGAAGUUGGAUUCGCUAGUAACGGCGCAUCAGCUACGGCGCCGUGAAUACGUUCCCGGGCCUUGUACACACCGCCCGUCACAUCAUGAAAGCCGUCUGCACCCGAAGUCGCUGAGCUAACCCGCAAGGGAGGCAGGUGCCGAAGGUGUGGGUGGUGAUUGGGAUGAAGUCGUAACAAGGUA
rnacentral:rRNA from 1 species